rfam:Nocardia sp. Root136 contig_1, whole genome shotgun sequence.
AAACCCGGGUGCGGAUCAUGUUCCGCACCGGGUGAGAGGGAACCCGGUGAGAAUCCGGGACUGUCCCGCAGCGGUGAGCAGGAACGACCGCCGUCAUCAGCACUGGGCAGCAUGCCUGGGAAGCGACGGCCAGUAGGUCGGUCGAUCACACGACCGGUGCCCGCGAGUCCGAAGACCUGCCGACUGUGCCGGAUACGC